GGAUUGUUUAGGACUUGAUUUGUUUUGCUUUAUAUAAGAUAAAUAUAUUAUUCUAUUUACUGAUUUUAAGCAUAUUUUAAAAUAUUUAUAUUAUUGUUGCUUAUAAAAUAUUUGAUAUUAAUUAAAUAUUUAAUAAGAUUAUCAAUUUACCAUCCCACGUCAUUGUUCCAGCAACUUCCAUCCACAAUUUUAUCUUCAGUAUUUUGUCUUUGUAUUCAGAAAGACGUUUUUGCCACAGUUCAGGUCUACAAAUCAUCGUAGAAAUUAAUUUCUGUUUUUCUUCUAUUUCAGUUUUCUUUUUUGACUGAUAUGUCGCCGUAAUGGUGUUAUUCUACUUGAAAAUAUUUCCCAAGUUCCCGUGUGACGAAAUCUAAAAUGGUAUUACAACUCUGAAAAUCGCUAAUUUUGAUCGAAAAUAUCCAAUCGGAUUGGAUAUAUGUGAAAAUGUCGUUUCUCGCCAAAUUAUAUCCAUUCUGCGAAUAAUGCUAACACGUGCAAUAACAUUGUGAUAGCGUCUGCGACAAAAUACCGAUGAUGAUCGCAUAUUGCUUCUCGUUUCUCGCAAAUCGCUAUGUGAAACCGCCUUAAUGCGGGAAAAAUGGGAAUAAUAUUGGAUUUCCUAUAUUAUUUAUCCUAUCGGCAUUUAAAUGAAACAUUAAUUAUAAGAAAUUCGUUAUCCUCUUCAAUUGAGCCAUUCGAAAUUACCUGCUAUAAAAUAUAUACGCGAUUAUAUAAAGGUGUUAUUGCAUUGCGCUACAAUCGAGGCAGCAAUCCGAUUUCAUUCAUUCAUAUAUUAUCAUCCUUCUCCAACAUGUUCCAACUUUCAAGGCGCAUCCCCUCGGAAUAAAUAAUCGAUCAUUCUAUUGAGAAAAAGUUAUUUUCUGAGGAUUUUGGCUUUUUACCAGAUAACAAAAGAAAAAACGUAAUUUUUGCCGAUACUUCCGGCGUCGUUGCGAGUGCUUUCUUUAGACAACGACGGGUUUUGGUCAAUGGAGGGUGCGCCUCAGGGUCCUCGGCCUGGGAUCUUGUUCUACCGUAUGUUCUCCUGUCAGUGUGAGAAAAAUACGUCACUAUCACGAACAGUCACAAGCGGUGUGCCUGGAACUACCACCAUCACUUUGUCUAUACAUUGUUUUAACAAGAAGAUAUUCUUAUGCCCUUUUUACCUCAUAUGUAGCUCCAGCCUUGUCCUCCUCUACAUCAUCGGGUUGAUGUCGAAGUACGGAGCAGCCCCAACAUCCUCUUCCGCGUUGACACCAAUCGGCCGGAGCUGUAUGAGUUUCAUGCCAGGCCCUCGCUAUACUCGGCCCGCGUUUGCUAAAAAGUACCGGAAUUUGGCACCAAAUAUCGGGCAUGUCGAUAAGACCCGACAACUGCAUGUAUUGUUUUAGGGCUAUAUCGCUACGCAAGGAUUUGGUAGUUUUCUGGGAAAAAAAGAAGACAUCUAUUGGAUAUAGCCGUCGUGCCGUCGCGUGAUAAUGAAAAUUACUAUGCCGAAAGUUACAACGCCGUUUCUGUCGGUGGCUUAUACUUAUCUUCAGAUAUCUGUUUCGGAUCUUCGUUUUGAGUGCGGGCAGUAGGAUCCGAGACGGAAACGAAUCUGGAAAAUAUAGGGACGGCUAUAACUUGGACACACUACACGUUAUCAGUGGUUAUCUGUAACGGCCGUCAUCACACCGGCCUUUAGCCGAAAGAAUACCGAAUACAUUGGUAUUCCAAGCGGCAGUUAAACAUAAUGCAUUGUGGGAUGGUAAAGACUACUACAGUGUAACCGCUGAUAGAGAAUAAAUUCCUAUCAUAUGUUUAUUUGUUGCUUACUUAUAUUGUUUCGAUAAACAGUGCCAUUUAUUUUUUAUUUCUUCUACUGAUCCGUUGACACCACGAUUUUCCGAUAAUUGCUUCACCGUGUUAUCUUUUCGCUCUCCUUAGAUCAUCGAUAGAUCACUCCAAAUAUUUAUUAAUGCUUUGGUUUCUCUUUCAUCUCACCAAACCUUUUCUUUUGACCGCUUGUCUGGGAAGCGAGUUCUCUGUGGAUGCCAUU
rnacentral:lncRNA from 1 species